UACGAAGGGGGCUAGCGUUGCUCGGAAUCACUGGGCGUAAAGGGUGCGUAGGCGGGUUUUAAGUCAGGGGUGAAAUCCUGGAGCUCAACUCCAGAACUGCCUUUGAUACUGAAGAUCUUGAGUUCGGGAGAGGUGAGUGGAACUGCGAGUGUAGAGGUGAAAUUCGUAGAUAUUCGCAAGAACACCAGUGGCGAAGGCGGCUCACUGGCCCGAUACUGACGCUGAGGUGCGAAAGCGUGGGGAGCAAACAGG
rnacentral:rRNA from 1 species